CACCCGUCAAUAUGGAGCAAUAUCUCAGGCACUGAUGUAAAUAGCCUCUCCACCAGCAAGUAUUGCUGUGCCUGACCCUGCUUCCCCAUCACAGGACGCUGAGGUAGGAAGAUUCUCAAGACCCUAGGAAGAUUCUCAAGACCCUACCUCAAAACAAUCAAACAACCAAUGAGAGAAAGGAAGUGUUUAUAACCACCCACCUACUGCCAUUCCCACUGCUCUGUUCUUGGUGUUGAUCUGAGUUCCCAUUUUACAUCCCUCAGCCUUGAAGAACCUCCUCUCCCAUCUCAAGGUUCGUGUUUCUUUGACAGGAACCACAGAAAAGGAAGGAAGCACCUUCAUGGACUCUACUUGACUCCUUGACCAUUUCUUUCUUUUUUCUUCUACCAUUUCCAGGUGAAGAACUCCUGGAAAUUCUAUACCCAGCAAUACUAACCUUUCC